UACGUAGGGGGCGAGCGUUGUCCGGAUUUAUUGGGCGUAAAGGGCGUGUAGGCGGCCUGGUAAGUCGGGGGUGAAAACCCAGGGCUCAACCCUGGGACUGCCUUCGAUACUGUUAGGCUUGAGUGCUCUAGAGGGUAGUGGAAUUGCCGGUGUAGCAGUGAAAUGCGUAGAGAUCGGCAGGAACACCAGUGGCGAAGGCGACUGCCUGGGGAGUAACUGACGCUGAGGCGCGAAAGCUGGGGGAGCAAACGGG
rnacentral:rRNA from 1 species